UCGAAGGAACUGUUUACAAAGAUUUGGUUGAGCCUCUCGCCAAGUAAUCACCAUGACGCUGACAUUUUUGGUCUUUAGUGAAAUCUCUGUUUUAGACAGAUAGAGUUGGGCUCUAAUAUUCCGUUUCCCCCCUCUGGAUAGAUUGUGUUGAUAGUGAUUCUGUAACUUUCCAAAUGGUGCCAGUAUCAGGUUAGUCCAUUACUUUUGUUCAUAAAGAAAUAUCUGCAAGCAUUAGCGGCAUUUUGUGUAACUCCAUAGCAUGGCUUUGCACUCACUAAGAAAAUAUUUAAUUACUCACUGGUUUUCUCUCUCUGAUGUUUUGUCUUAGUAUGAAAACAGUGUUGACACUGUGGAUUCUUCCAAUGUGUGUUGACUCUUUUGAUGUGUGAAAAGUUCUCAGCUUCUCACUUACUGCUCAUGUUUGUCUCCCACAGUCCCAAAAAAACCUCCAGGUCAGGUGGCGCAGGGAGGGAGGAAGAGCGAGUCGUGUGAAGGCUGCCGCCGAGACCAGUGUUUCCUUUUGCACAAUGCACCCUGGGAACAGCUCCAAAGACGGACCCUGUGACCUUAUAAUCAUCAGCCUCUGAGUCAGAAAAUGUCAUUUCGGGUCAACCGUUGGUGACUUUGGUAUGCAAAGAGCCAGGUGUCGGAGCCGGAGUUGUGCAGUGUAACAGUGACGUCAUGGAGAGGCAAAUUUUAGGAUAAUAAGAGAUGACAGCAUGGAUCAGGCUGUCAUAUCAAGCGGAGAUGCCAAUAAUGAGGUCAUGGCGGUGCUGGGUGAGUGGAGAGUCCUGUCGGCCCCCCCUUUGGCCCUCCUGCACCCAGACAGAGUGGCCUGUGUCCAGUGGAGAAGCAAGUUACCAGCGGGAAUUGAGGUCAGGACGGGCAGGAAAUGGAAAGCAGGCGAGGAACUCGAGGUGGCACAGGCAGGGGGAGCUUGUGGGGAACGUGGCCCGAGGUCGUGCUGGUCUUGGUA